rnacentral:rRNA from 1 species
CAGCCGCCGCGGGAAUACGGAGGGGGCUAGCGUUGUUCGGAUUUACUGGGCGUAAAGCGCACGUAGGCGGAUCCUUAAGUCAGAGGUGAAAUCCCAAGGCUCAACCUUGGAACUGCCUUUGAUACUGGGGAUCUCGAGUUCGGGAGAGGUGAGUGGAACUGCGAGUGUAGAGGUGAAAUUCGUAGAUAUUGGGAAGAACACCGGUGGCGAAGGCGGCAACCUGGUCCAUAACUGACGCUGAGGCGCGAAAGCGUGGGGAGCAAACAGGAUUAGAUACCCCAGUAGUCCCUGUCUCUUAUAC